UCGGUCGGUAUGGUCAUAUGGUUAUAUUAUAAUCUUCUAUUAUCUAUGUGGCCGACGGGUAGUGAUAAUGAAUAACAAGUGGGUAAUUGUUAUCUCAAAACGAAAAAAGAAUACAAUAUAUAAUAUGGGUACAUAUUUUAGCAAACGGGACAUUCCAGUGUCCCCCGACAAGAGUUGCCGGGACAACGGGACACUUAGUCAAAAAAAAGGACAUUCCCGUAUUAUGCGGGACGUCUGGCAACCCUAGUUAAGCACAAAUUAUUUUGGAAAGAACCAGGUAUUCGGUUGUAUGCAAAAAAUAUUAUAAAAUUAACCACUCG